GGGUGGGUUACCAUCUCUUUGGCCUGUGAUUAGAAGAGAAACAUCUCUUCUUUGGUGAGUGUUCAGCCUUUGUGCUGCAUUGUAUUUGGAAAAGAGGAAGAUCUAGAUUAGAUCUAGGUAAGUUCCUACUAUUCCUCCAUCCUCCAGUAACUUUCAUCGAUCCAUCUUCAAUCUUGAAAGAGUCUGAGGUAAUUGAAAGAAGAUCCAAUCAGAUUAGCCACCAGAAGCGAUUUUCGUGAGCUAGCACUCCUGGAGACAGC
rnacentral:lncRNA from 1 species